rnacentral:rRNA from 1 species
UACGUAGGGUGCGAGCGUUAAUCGGAAUUACUGGGCGUAAAGAGUUCGUAGGCGGUUUGUCGCGUCGUUCGUGAAAAACUUGGGGCUUAACUCCAAGCGUGCGGGCGAUACGGGCAGACUUGAGUACUACAGGGGAGACUGGAAUUCCUGGUGUAGCGGUGAAAUGCGCAGAUAUCAGGAGGAACACCGGUGGCGAAGGCGGGUCUCUGGGUAGUAACUGACGCUGAGGAACGAAAGCGUGGGUAGCGAACAGG